rnacentral:rRNA from 1 species
UACGUAGGGUGCGAGCGUUUGUCCGGAAUUAUUGGGCGUAAAGAGCUUGUAGGCGGUUUGUCGCGUCUGCCGUGAAAAUCCGGGGCUCAACCCCGGACUUGCGGUGGGUACGGGCAGACUAGAGUGUGGUAGGGGAGACUGGAAUUCCUGGUGUAGCGGUGAAAUGCGCAGAUAUCAGGAGGAACACCGAUGGCGAAGGCGGCAUCCUGGACCGAGAUUGACGCUGAGGCGCGAAAGCCAGGGGAGCAAACGGG